ACUCUUGCAUGGAAGCAGUCUGAGGAGCAACGCCGCGUGAGUGAAGAAGGGUUUCGGCUCGUAAAGCUCUGUUGGUGGUGAAGAAAGACAGGGGUAGUAACUGGCCUUUAUUUGACGGUAAUUACUUAGAAAGUCACGGCUAACUACGUGCCAGCAGCCGCGGUAAUACA
rnacentral:rRNA from 1 species